rnacentral:rRNA from 1 species
UUGUGUUGCGGAACUUUUACUUUGAGAAAAAUAGAGUGUUUCAAGCAGGCUUGUCGCCCUGAAUACUUCAGCAUGGAAUAAUAGGAUAGGACCUUGGUUCUAUUUUGUUGGUUUCUAGGACCAAGGUAAUGAUUAAUAGGGACAGUUGGGGGCAUUCGUAUUUAACUGUCAGAGGUGAAAUUCUUAGAUUUGUUAAAGACGAACUACUGCGAAAGCAUUUGCCAAGGAUGUUUUCAUUAAUCAAGAACGACAGUAGGGGGUUUGAAGACGAUUAGAUACCGUCGUAAUCUCUACCAUAAACUAUGCCGACUAGAGAUAGGGAAAUGCCUACCUUGGCUUCUCCUGCACCUCAUGAGAAAUCAAAGUCUCUGGGUUCUGGGGGGAGUAUGGUCGCAAGGCUGAAACUUAAAGGAAUUGACGGAAGGGCACCACCAGGCGUGG